CAAAACCCAGGGAAGGAUUCUGGUUCAUCUUGAUUCACACAUCCAGCUUUUGGACCAAGCACUAUGGGCAAGAGGACUGGCCAGACAUGAGUGGUGAAAGGCCAAGGUUUGUCGUCGGAGAUUAAAAUGCACACACACACAGAUAGCAGUGACAAAGAUGAAGCACCUUAUUGCAAGCUGGUGCUAGCUUAUAUAGAAAGUGAGAGUCAGUUAUCUUAAACCAGGAAGCUCCCGGGGCCAAUCAUAGUAAAGAUCAGGUCAUCACGCUCGCACGUCCGCCCUGCAUAAGAUUCAAGGGGAUCACGAACUGUUCACAAGUAUGGAAGCCGGGAGGACCAAUUAGUGAAUUUUCAAAACAACUUGUUAUCCGCCCACUGGCAAUUUGCCCGCUGCCAUGUCUGAAAGGCCCGGGGAAUUCUCAGGGAGACUCCCAACAGGUGGCAUCUCCAUCCCUGAGUCAAGGGUAGGGUGAAAUCAGCAGCCCCCCAGAAUGACAGAUUUGGAGUAGGGGAGAAUCAGAUACCUAAAGAAAGGAGGAAUACCGUUCCCAAGAGAGAGUGCAAUUCUUUCCUCCUGGGCUAUGAAAUAAAGUCAUAUUUAACAAAGAGUUUUGAUUUCCAAUCGACCCCAUCCCAAUCCAAAUGACACUUUGUGCAAAUUAGAAAAAUUAACGCCUUCCCUGAGACAUUUGUACUACCAUCUGCCUGAAAAUUAUCAUGGUAAAUAAAC
rnacentral:lncRNA from 1 species